CAUUUUGGUCAUUUUUUAAAUUUCAUUUGUUGUAAAUAUGAAGACCCAGAUCAAAAAUAAAACCCAGAUCAAAGCUCUGUCUCUCUCUCUUCUCUCUCUAUAGCACCACCACCACCGCCACCUCCUCCCUCCCUCUCUCUUCUCUCUCUCUAUAGAUAUCAUCUAAAAUCACUCUCCCCUCAACUCUCUGUCCCUGUCUCUCUCUCUACAUUCCUUCCUGAAUUAUCAAAAACACCAGCCAUCAACCAUCAUCACUGUUACCAUCGUUGUUUGCAAAUCGUCGCCCCCACCCUUUAAACUCUAGAUCCCAAGCCGCCGGAGAUAAAAAACUUGAAAUUGAAGAUAUCACCGGUGGUUAUUGGUGGCCACAAACAAUGAAGAUACAGGUUUUGCUUGGUGGUAGUUGUUUUCCGGUGGCCACGAACAACGAAGAUAUCGGCGACACUACCAGAUCUGCAGAGAUAUGAACUCGCCGGAGAGUUUAGAGAGAAGGAUAGAGAGUUCCAUAUUUUAAUAUCCAAGAUUUGGAUAUCACCUAUAAUUUGUGUACUGGUACAGUGAAAUCAAAGUCACAAAAUUGGAAUAAGGUAUUGUAUAUGGAAAUAUUUAAAUAUUCAAUAUUUGAAAAGAUCCAAGAGUUCUGCCAAGUUAUGCAUUCAGAUCUGUGGAUUGAUUUAAUUUUCAAAUUACUGUUAUUUUAUAGUUUAAGAUGAAAUUAAAAGAUUUAACUGAAUUGAAAGAUGCUUAUUUAGUUAGAGGUGAUGAUUGCCGAAGAGUUUAGUGAGGGAGGAAAGUUUAAAGAGAGGGAUUUAGAUCUACAGAAUUAGGGGUUUUUUUCAUUUUCAGUUGUCGGAGGUGGUGGUUGUGGUGGUUGUGGUGGACACAUGUGGUGGGUUUUUUUUCUUGGUGUUCGGAUUCUUUUUUCUUGGUGGUCGGAUUUGGUGUGGUUACGGUGGCGGUGGUGGUGGUGCUAUAGAGAGAGAGAAGAGAGAGAGAUAGAGCUUUGAUCUGGGUCUUCAUAUUUACAACAAAUGAAAUUUAAAAAAUACCAAAAUACCCUGCACUAAAGGACAAAAAAAUCAGGUUUCAACAGUCAAAAUAGAGGGUUUUGGGAUUUUGGACUAAAAUGGCAACAAAAUGCAAACCACAGGGACCCAGAUGUAAAAAGUUUGAGAUUUGGACUAAAAUGGCAAAAGUGCCCAAACCACAGGGACCAAAAUGGCAGUUUACUCAACUAAUUAAAAAAAAGUGGCACUGGGCGGCAAUCAGGACUCAGGAAAAGAAACGUCGGAACUGAGGAUUGAGGAAGAACAUCGGCGAUCAUCAUUCGUCAUUAGCAGGGCCUUCGAUUUCAUCAUUUCAGUCGACAGUCACAACACCAGGUCAUAAGGCGUUAAUGACUUAAUGGCUCCUAAACAACCCAUAAAUUUAGUAGUCCUGUAGAUGUUUUGGAGUAUAUGAAAGAAGACGGUUAUUCACCGGAAGCAUGCAUUGCAUAUAGAAUAUUGUUGACUAUUCCAGUCACUGUGGCAUCUGCAGAAAGAAGUUUUUUGAAGUUGAAGUUAUUGAAAUCUUACCUACGAUCUUCAAUGUCCCAAGAAAGACUUAGUGGGUUGGCGAUGAUUGCUAUCGAGAACGAAGUCUUAGAUGAUAUAAACUGUGAAAAGUUGAUUCACCAAUUUGCUAUCAAGAAUGCAAGGAGAGCUUCAUGAAUCAUUGGUUAGCUAUUAGCUUAUUAGUUUUUACGGUAUGUCAUUCAUUCGAAUACUAUAUUUUGUAUUUUGUUAAUUGCAUUGUUUAUCGAAUGCUAUAUUUUUGUCAACCGUUCAAAGUUGUAUGAAAAAACUAGUUUAAAA